rnacentral:rRNA from 1 species
CACGUAGGGUGCGAGCGUUGUCCGGAAUUAUUGGGCGUAAAGAGCUCGUAGGCGGUGUGUCGCGUCGGCCGUGAAAACCUGCAGCUUAACUGUGGGCUUGCGGUCGAUACGGGCAUCACUGGAGUUCGGCAGGGGAGACUGGAAUUCCGUGGUGAUAGCGGUGAAAUGCGCAGAUAUCAGGAGGAACACCGAUGGCGAAGGCAGGUCUCUGGGCCGAUACUGACGCUGGAGGAGCGAAAGCGUGGGGAGCGAACAGG